rnacentral:rRNA from 1 species
GUCCACGCCCUAAACGAUGCGAACUGGAUGUUGGGCUCAACUCGGAGCUCAGUAUCGAAGCUAACGCGUUAAGUUCGCCGCCUGGGGAGUACGGUCGCAAGACUGAAACUCAAAGGAAUUGACGGGGGCCCCGCACAAGCGGUGGAGUAUGUGGUUUAAUUCGAUGCAACGCGCAGAACCUUACCUGGCCUUGACAUGCACGGAAUCCUUUAGAGAUAGAGGAGUGCCUUCGGGAACCGUGACACAGGUGCUGCAUGGCUGUCGU